rnacentral:lncRNA from 1 species
GAAAGAUGAAGUGUCAGGACUUGGAGAGGAAGUGUUCAGAGGAAGCACGGAAAUGUCUAAUGGAGAAUUUUAUUACAUUUUAUUUUUAAAUUCUCUUCCGCAUCUCUUUGUGAAAUUUUCAGUAGAAUCUAAAUGACUUGCUAUGUACUUUGUGGUUGGAUCUUUCCGGAAGAUGGAACAAUGAGCUGUUGGUCUUCUGGUGGUGUGUGUGUGCUGGGUAGAGGAGUGGGGAAGUCAAAGCCAUCUAUCAGAGACCUGCCAUAUCUGAUUACAUGUUUUGGCCAGCUGUCACUCUGUUCCAGUUUAUUCUAUUUGUCUUGGCUUAUAAUCCUCCAGCAGUGUUUUCAUCGAGUCUCCAUUGGUUUAUCUUGCCCAAUUUGGCAAGAACAGAAGAAUCGCAGAACAGCAGAAAUCACUGGAAGAGAGAUAUGGUAAUCAACUGUCCCCAGAUCUCCCAGCUUCAGACUCUGCCUUGAUAGUAAUAGGACUCCAUAAGCUUAUUUCAGUUUUUCCAAGAACUUCACAGAAACCACGUAUUUUCCUGUGGAUAAGAUCAUGCAGGCUGACUGAAAUCAGCGUAUUUGCUUUUGGCACGUAUUUAUCAGCUUGAUGUGCUAACCCUGUUCAUCUCUCGCUGAUUGGAACUCUGAUUAACAGUUGUAUAUGUCUGAGUAAAGAAAUGAGAAGACAAUUGAAUUGUCAUUUUAUAAGCACUUCUUUGGGUGAUAAAAAUAUUUUCAAACACACAUUCCUCAAGAAACAUGCAAAUAGGAAGGACCUUGGGAAAGAAUUGUUGCGAAGGAAUUUUAUCCACUCCUCUCACUUUUAUUGGGGAAAUGGAGAUCUGAGAGUUGUCAGCCCCAAGACCAGUAGUCCAGGAUCUCUCUCGCCCCAACACUGGUUUAAUCCUCCAGGAUGCCUCAGAUCCUUUGUUGAGCUGGUUGAAAUGUGUCUCCCCAAAUAUUUUUGCUCAGUAUGAGGAAGAUAGAGUCUGAAAAUUCUAUCCCUGUGUUCUGUCCCUUUGCAUUUUCCAUUGAACCCAAGCGAAUGCAAGUCCUUUUAUUGCUGGCACAACAGAAUGAGUGAUUGAAGGAUACUGAAUACACGGAACUG